rnacentral:lncRNA from 1 species
UUUCUACUUAACAACGUUGAUUUCCUGUCUCACAGCAAGGUUAGGACAUUUCAGACCGAGAAUUACGUCUUAUCCAUCAUCGUGGAGGUUGCCUUUAAUCUUUUUUGUUGAAUGGGAAACAGCUGACUAAAGUUUUUUUUAAAAUUUCCCAUGGACACAAUAUAGACUUUCCUUGAAGAUUUCUGUUGCAACAUAUCGAAAACUCUUGUAACAUAUUACUUUCUAUUGUUAUGGAAACUGUCCAUUACUACCAAUUGAAUAUGUAAAGUUUCCGGCGAAAAUAUUCUCUACGGCUGUUAAUUUAAUCACGCUUUAAAAUGUAUUUUCGAUUUAUCGACAUGAAAAAUAUGACACAAUUCUGUUGAGAAAACUAACGGCCAAAGUUAUUAAGACAAGUUAUGAAAAACAAGAAUAAUAACCAACGUGAACCACCGAACGUCUGACACACUAAUACAGAACGUGGCGGGGUAAACAUGUUUGUGAGCGUUUAUCCCAUCCUAACGUGAGGGUACCCAAAUUGCACCUAUCUUGACAGUUUUUCAACCUACGUUUAUUUAUGUUUCAGACAAAAGUUUUCCUUAUGUUUUUUAUUUUGUAGAUGUAUCACUUUUUACUAUUUUGUUUCACCAAUUU